ensembl:rRNA 5S_rRNA 5S ribosomal RNA
GUCUACAGCCGCACCACCCAGAAUGCGCCCAAUCUCAGCUGAUCUCUGAAGUCAAGCAGGGUUGGGCCUGGUUAAUACUUGCACGGGAGAAAGUGGGAAAUGAGAUAGGGAAGGAA